ACAAAUUUGCGUUGGGGGCCCGUGGGGUGCAGGGGCGGGGCGGGGCGCGGGCUGGGCGCCAGCACUCACCUCGGGCGGCGGCGGCCGCGGGAGGGCCCCAGCAGCAGCAGCAGCGGCAGCACUAACGCGGGGCUCGGCGUCAUCUCGGCCAGUGCGGACCUGGGGGUUAUUCAAAGGCUGGUCACUUGCGUGCGGGUGGGGGGGCUGGUUUUCCGCCCCGCUCCCCCUCCCCUGGGCCGAGGGCCCCGGAGCCGCCAGCACCCCGGCCCUGGACGAGGGGAACUGAGGUGCGGGCCGCCCCGCCUUCCCUGGCGCGCUCCGGGCGGAGGAAGCGGCGGCAGGGUAACCGUGGGUAUCAAAGGCAGACAAAGGGUUUACACUAAUUACCGACCUCCCCCGCCCCCCCUCCAAACACCGUCUGGAUUCCUGGCGCUUGUAACUCGGGCCCUGCCCGCGGGACACACAACACCGGCGGCCCCGCAGAUAAUCGCCUGCGCCAUUAGCGGACAAAUUUGCGUUGGGGGGGCCCACGUGGGGUGCAGGGGCGGGGGCGGGGCGCGGGCAGGACCUCGGGCCGGGCGGGAGCCGCGGCGGCGCGUGCCGGUGCCUGCGGCCCCUCGCCGCGGAGCGGGGACCCGGACGCUCGGCCCCCGCCCCCGCCCGCGGCCCCGGCCCCCGGCCCUUCGGAAUCGGCCCUCCCAGUCCGCCCCGGGAAUCGGAGGCGCGCGGAGGGGCUCACCUCGGCGGGGCUCGCGGGCCGCGGGGCUCAGGGCCGGGCCCGCGGGCGCGCUGCGCGGUCAUUGCCGCCCGGGCGCCGCACCCCGCCGCCCCGCGCCCCCGGCCCGGCCUCGGGACGGGGCGGCGCUACCUGCGCGCUGGCGGCUCGGGCUGGGGCCGGGGCGGGGAUCGGGGCCGGGGCCGGGCGAGGGGCGAGGAGCGCGGCGAGGGCGGUCCGCGGGCCGGGGCCGCGAUCCCGGGGCGGCGGGGCGAGGGGCCCGGGGCGCCACGCCGCGAGGCGUCCUUCCCUGCGGGGCUUUGUCAACUCUCCCGGAGCGAGCGCCGAGCCCGCCGCGCGCCCCGCCCCGACACAACUUCCCGCCAAUCGGCGCGCCGUGGCCCCUGCGCCCCGCCCCCACGACCCGCCCGCGCCCCGCCUUGCGCCCCGCCCCGCGCUCGAACUUCCCGCCAAUCGGCUCGUCCUGGCCGCCGCGCCCCGCCCCCGCUCCCCGCCCCGAGCCCCGCCCCGCGCCCGAACUUUCUGCCAAUCGGCGAGCGCGCCCGCCCCGCCACCGCCUGGCUCGCGGCCUUAACCCUAGCAGUACGGGACGCCCGCGGGCGGGGCGGCUCCCCGGAGCGCGGCCACGCCCCAGCCCGUCCGCCUCUCCCCCUCAGGCCCCUGGCUUCACCCCCAGCUUGUUUCCACCCGCUGGCGGCCGGGGCAGCACACUGCGCCCCCACCCAGCCCCGGCCCAGCCCCGCCUCGCGCACCUCCUGGUCCCGCACCGUCCACCUCGCACCUGCACCCGUUGGCGCCUGCAUUCGAGCCCCCAACCUCAGGCCAACAGCCCCCCGCGCGCCUCUAGAGUCGUCCCUGAUCGAGCUCCAGUUGGGCAGUCCGAGUCCCGAUAUCUGAGCCCCCCGGUGGUCGUCGGGAACGGAGGGGAGAUCCAAGACCCCGCUCUGACUCCAGGCGACUCCAGGGAGAGCCAAGUCGGGCAUGACGUGGGGUACAGAGAUCCCGCCCUGGCUCCUCGGCUCAUAGAUCGGCUUGACGGAGAGCAGACGUGUUCCCACCGCCCACCUGGCGGUUUGCGGCCUCCUAUCCGCUAG
ensembl:lncRNA